rnacentral:rRNA from 2 species
UGAGGAAUAUUGGUCAAUGGGCGCAAGCCUGAACCAGCCAUCCCGCGUGCAGGAUGACGGCCCUAUGGGUUGUAAACUGCUUUUAUACAGGAAGAAAAAUCUCCACGUGUGGGGACUUGCCGGUACUGUAUGAAUAAGCAUCGGCUAACUCCGUGCCAGCAGCCGCGGUAAUACGGAGGAUGCAAGCGUUAUCCGGAUUCAUUGGGUUUAAAGGGUGCGUAGGCGGCUCUUUAAGUCAGUGGUGAAAUCCUGCCGCUUAACGGUAGAAUUGCCAUUGAUACUGAAGAGCUUGAGUACAAUUGAGGUAAGCGGAAUGUGUAGUGUAGCGGUGAAAUGCUUAGAUAUUACACAGAACACCAAUUGCGAAGGCAGCUUACUAAACUGUUACUGACGCUGAUGCACGAAAGCGUGGGGAGCGAACA